GGGUAUGUCUUUAGGAUUUCUAGCUAAUAGAGUUUUUGGUGAAACAAACUCUUCUCUCUCCUUUCUCCAUGCCUUCUCUCCUCCCUCUCUUUUCUUCCACGUCCAAGAGUUGGGCGUCCCCUCUUCCACAUGCUAAGAGGUAGUGCUUUGUGACUUCAAGAGUGAAGAUCGAGGAGAAGAAGAAGACUGCUGAUCAAAGAGUUGAUCCCGCAGUCAGAUCAAGAUAUUGAUCAAAGUAUUCCAGACUAAGAUUCUUCUUGAGAAGAAGAGUCUUCUACGAAGAGAGAUCAGUUCGAGAUUGAUUUCGGUGGAUACCCGUAA
rnacentral:lncRNA from 1 species